rnacentral:lncRNA from 1 species
CACGUCUUCUGACUUCUUAUUUUCAGAAUUCUGUUGCUGUUUUAUCCGUGGCAGGAAAGUGCAAGUUUUUGUGUUGGUUCAGUUUCAAAUAUUAGUCAAGGAUGGAUGUGAACGACGAUACGACACAGUACCAGGUCACGCGCAGGAAGUCCUUUCAGGAGACGCAGUGGCGAUCACGGGUUCUCCGGCGCUGCAUCAUUCCCACUAUCAUCACGUUCACAGGCAUUUUCUUGGCGAUAGCCAUCGGCAAUGUCAUUUUCUACCUCGCUAUCAGACCGAACCGAGCAUACUAGUGCAAACGGAUCCAUUUGACCAUUGCUUCAUGGGAAAAAAAUGUGUCGCAUAUCUACUACAUACGAAUAUGAAAUUACUAGAAGAACCAAGUCUAGGACUCGGUAGCCGUGUGCUGAUCGAAGAACGUCUCAUCUGGAAAUCAAUUCAGCAUCUAAAGUGUUUCAAAUGCACUCUGAACUUUUUAUUAUGGUAUUUGUUUUCAUAGGUGUGUAUCUCCAUGUGCGGCGCAGUAUUAUUAUCUCUAUAUGACUCACAAUUACUAGGGCCUCGCCCUGGAGGUUGGCUGUAACCCAUGUCUGUCAGCCCCUCUCGCGUCUAUCACGCAGCCAUUUAUUCGGCCAGCCAUUGUCCAUGUAGCGCUGUGUCGUUAGAGCAGCCGUUAUUCUCAUGGUCUGCACAGGAUUACUUGGAGGCAUUGUAUGUAGUAUGUAAGUAACUGUGAUUCUAAGCACAUAUGCGUUGUUAACGGCCAUCCGUGGUACCGGUCAGUUAUUACACUGAGCUUCAGUUACGUCAGGCAACAGAUGAGUAGUACAUAGCGAUUGGCAGUUCAUCUUGGCAUUCGCUAUGUGUUAUGUUUUAUUGGUGUUUCGUUCACAUACCUUGUUCUUUUAUGCAUACUCUUGUGUAACGAUCUUGCUGAUUUUAUAGUGUCAUGUAAGUUUUAUCUAUCACUCUACAUUUUCAAGUGGAUUUAAAAUGCAAUUUGCUGUAUGAGUCUCUAGACAUAGGUAUUUCUAGACUUGAAAUCUAGAAAUAAUCCUGUAUAUUUUGUUCGCUGGCAAUGUGCAAUCACAUGCAAUGUGCAAUCAAAUGCAAUGUGCAAUCAAAUGCAAUGUUGUUACAUGCAAUGUGCAAUCAAAUGCAAUGUUGUUACAUGCAUUGACCAUCGUCAUUUCGUCAGAGUAAUAGAUGAGAUUCAAACUCAUUUUGUAGUUUCAUGCUGCUCAAAUAGCACUCACCUUCUCAUUGGGCAUGAUGCGGUACUUGUAGUAUUGUUAGGCUACAAGUAAUUAGCUGCUCAUUAGUGAUGUCAUGCUAUUAUACUGAAAUCUCAAUCUAGACAAAGUUUGUUGUUUUACUUUUAUGUUAGGAGUGCAAUUUACCAUUAUUCAUAUGUGUAUCUUAUGAGGAUUUUGAAAUUCUGAUUAAUAUAGCCAAAGAUUAAAUGCCAAAGAUGGGUAGCUAAACGAUCUACGAACAAAAUAGUGUGCAAUAAGUACUAGCGAAAUUUUUGUGCACUCAAGAAUAUUUUGUAAUGUUGAAAUGCGUUAUUCUUUCUAAAUCAGUCUAAUUAUCUCCUUAUGGUCCUACUCAUAUUGUGUAUCACAAGCGAGGUACUGGAGGUUUUAUCUUUGUUUGAAUCUGGUUGGGAAGUUUUUUCAGGGAUUGAACGUUGGCCUGCUGUUUUCAGCCAGGUUCUAAUGCAGGAGUGUAAUACGAAUUCAUAUUUUGUAAUUGGAAGUCGGGAGUCGUGUGCCUUAAUUACCUGCUCAUCGGGUGCCUGAGAUAUUUCAUCUAAGGUCCAAACAGGUGGAUUUGGCAAGGAGAAGGAUUAUUUUGAAUUUUACGGGAUAAUGCAAUUUUUUCAUGUUGUAUGGAAUUGUUCUGUGUGUGCAUAUAUCUGAAUUCUUUAUGUGCAUAGUUCUAACUCCUGCCUUGUAUGUAACAAACAUAUCAAGAAUAUUCGAGAUUCUAGCAAUAGAACAGGGUGUGCCUUCUUGGAAAGCAAGUUUUACAUGAUAAAUGUUUUUACCCGUUCAGUUAUGGCACGCCGUCAGUUAUGCGUGUCUUCAUUUUACACAAAAAUAAAUUGUUUAGAAUA